GGAGAGCAGCAUCCUGAGUAGAAGGAUGUGUGACACUGCCCUCCCUGACUCUGCCUGGGGCCCCACCCUGCUCUGCUGUGUUACUGUCUUUCUCCUGGGAACAAAACACAUGGAGGCUGCAGUCACCCAAGACCCAAGAAGCAAGGUGACAGUAACAGGAGGAAAGGUGACACUGAGCUGUCACCAGACUUCCAACCACAACAAUAUGUACUGGUAUCGGCAGGACCUGGGUCAUGGACUAAGGCUGAUCCAUUACUCAUAUGAUGCUGGUAGCACUGAGAAAGGAGAUGUCCCUGAUGGGUACAAAGUCACCAGACCAAGUCAAGAGAACUUCUCCCUCAUUCUGGAGAUGGCUUCCCCCUCUCAGACAGCUGUGUACUUCUGUGCCACCAGUGAUGCACAGCAAUGUGUGACUUCCUCCCCUCUGCACAUAAAGUAAAUUAGGAAGACAAGUUUCCUGUGUGCCCCAGGGAGUCCCUGCCUCUGUAAGCAUGGUCUCUUUCCAGGCUGUGUUUACUCUGUAUGUCAGUAGCCCCUUUGUUAAUAGGAUAAUAGCCCAGAAGGUCCUAUUUCUUUUUCUUCACUCAUUUUUUCCCCAGCCUUCCCAAGUUCUUUGCUCUGCAGCUAAACUUGUCUGCAUUCCUUUACUUUCUCAUAUGUCUUGUGUUGUUUUCAACUGUGGAGGUAUUUUUUAAUGACAUUUCUUCUGUACUGAAGACAUGCCUUUCACUCUUGCUUCUGUAUCUCUUCUUCCCAUCAAAAUAUAUUUCAAGUUGGAUUAUUUUUCUUUUACAUUUUCAGAUUUUAAUUUCAUUACUUUGCUU